rnacentral:rRNA from 1 species
UGGGGAAUUUUGGACAAUGGGCGAAAGCCUGAUCCAGCAAUGCCGCGUGUGUGAAGAAGGCCUUCGGGUUGUAAAGCACUUUUGUCCGGAAAGAAAUCCUUGGCUCUAAUACAGUCGGGGGAUGACGGUACCGGAAGAAUAAGCACCGGCUAACUACGUGCCAGCAGCCGCGGUAAUACGUAGGGUGCAAGCGUUAAUCGGAAUUACUGGGCGUAAAGCGUGCGCAGGCGGUUUGCUAAGACCGAUGUGAAAUCCCCGGGCUCAACCUGGGAACUGCAUUGGCGACUGGCAGGCUAGAGUAUGGCAGAGGGGGGUAGAAUUCCACGUGUAGCAGUGAAAUGCGUAGAGAUGUGGAGGAAUACCGAUGGCGAAGGCAGCCCCCUGGGCCAAUACUGACGCUCAUGCACGAAAGCGUGGGGAGCAAAACAGGAUUAGAUACCCUGGUAGUCCACGCCCUAAACGAUGUCAACUAGUUGUUGGGGAUUCAUUUCCUUAGUAACGUAGCUAACGCGUGAAGUUGACCGCCUGGGGAGUACGGUCGCAAGAUUAAAACUCAAAUGAAUUGACGGGGUCAUAGCUGUUUCCU